AUUGAACGCUGGCGGCAGGCCUAACACAUGCAAGUCGAACGGUAACAGGCAGCUUCUUGCUGCUUCGCUGACGGGUGGCGGACGUGUGACUCAUGACUGGGCAACCGCGUGCUGGAGGGGGACAACAACUGGAUGCGGCUACUACCACCGCAUAACGCCGCAAGCAUGGAGAGGGUGGGAUUAGGGCCUCUUGCCAUCGUAUAUGCCCAGGUGGGAUGCGCUUGUGGGUGGGGUAACGGCACACCUAGGCGCCGAUCUGUACCUGGUCGGAGAGGAUGAUCAGCCACACUGGAACUGAGACACGGUCCAGACUCCUACGGGAGGCAGCAGUGGGGAAUAUUGGACAAUGGGCGCAAGCCUGAUGCAGCCAUGCCGCGUGUGUGAAGAAGGCCUUCGGGUUGUAAAGUACUUUCAGCGGGGAGGAAGGGAGUUAAGUUAAUACCUUGCGUCAUUGACGUUACCCGCAGAAGAAGCACCGGCUAACUACGUG
rnacentral:rRNA from 1 species